rnacentral:rRNA from 1 species
GCCAGGGAUAACCUGGAGGAAGGUGGGGAUGACGUCAAAUCAUCAUGCCCCUUAUGCUUAGGGCUACACACGUGCUACAAUGGGUAGUACAGAGGGUUGCCAAGCCGUAAGGCGGAGCUAAUCCCUUAAAGCUACUCUCAGUUCGGAUUGUAGGCUGAAACUCGCCUACAUGAAGCUGGAGUUACUAGUAAUCGCAGAUCAGAAUGCUGCGG